rnacentral:lncRNA from 1 species
UGAAUGAGAGAGGGUGGUUCACCAAAGUGGGAUCAAGACCACAUGGGAAAAGCUUGUGGAAAAAGACCAGUUUAGGCCAUGACAAUUUUUAGGCGAAUAUCAAGUGAAAUGUUGGUAAGGGUGACAGAAUCAGAUUAUGGGGGAACCAAUGAAGAGAGGGCGGUACACUCAAAGAGCAGUAUCAUCAUAUUUAUGCUUUGCCUACCAGAAAAAGAUCAAAAUUUAUUACUCUUUUCUGGAAACUAGUGAAGGGAAAAAAAGAAUGACAACUUUUUGUGUUGAGAAAUCUGAAUGACUGGGAGAUCGGAAACAUGAAAAUUUGUUAAUACUCUCUCCCUUGUGACUCUAGACAGAAGCAAAAACAAUCCCCAAUGGUUUCUUACAAGAAAUGAGUCAUCCACAGUCAAGU